AUGAAUAUCCUUGUGUGGAACUGUCGGGGAUUGGGGUUGGACCCGACAGUCGGAGAGCUGAGGGACCUCAUACGGUCUCACAACCCAGCGGUGGUGUUCCUGAGCAAGAGAAAAAAGACGGCGCGAGCAAUGGAAAAGGUGAAGUGGAGUUUAGGGUUUCGGAAUGGGGUGGCAGUGGAUUGUGUGGGGAGAAGUGGUGGCUUGGCUUUGCUUUGGAGGGAU
rnacentral:rRNA from 1 species